rnacentral:rRNA from 4 species
GUCAUUUAGAGGAAGUAAAAGUCGUAACAAGGUCUCCGUUGGUGAACCAGCGGAGGGAUCAUUA